GUGCUCACUUCAGCAGCACAUAUACUAAAAUUGGGAUGAUUCAGAGAAGAUUAGCAUGGCCCCUGUGCAAGAAAGACAUGAAAAUUUGUGAAGAGUUCCAUAUUUUU
ensembl:snRNA U6 U6 spliceosomal RNA